ACAGUUGGUGGUUUAUUCAAUAAUUUUUGAUUUCAUUUUAGUUAUUAAAGCAUGUAUUUAUUACCUAAAUGUGUCUUCUUUUUAUAGUAUAAAUCCAUGUGACGAACACAGUUUACUCUAGUCUACCAAUUGCAUGCUUUUUUUUUAUGGAAUAUGACAUCAUUAUUUUAUUAAUAGAAAAACCUAAUUUGCUGUAUAGUACUAUUGUAGUGGAUAUUUCAAUUUGUCCCUAUUAAAGCCUUUUCAAUUUGAAUGUUUGAGUGCAAUUUUUAGAAUUUUCAUUUCUUUUUUAAUCACAUUAAUAUUUGCCCUUUAUUACUCCUUUGUACCUAUUCUAUUAAUAAUGUCAAUCCAAUGACUAAUUUAAAUUCGAUUUGAUUUUUAUGAAUAUUAAUAUACAAUUGUCUUAUAGUAGUUACUUGAGCCUAUUAAUUAAAGCCUUCUCAAUUUGAAUGUGCAACUUUUACAAAUUUCAUUUUUUUUAAAUGAGCACACCCUAUUACUCUACAACUUUAUCGUCAAUACCUAGUGCAUAAUUAUGUCCCAUCAACACAGAAGUAAGCAGAAUGAUUUUUUCCCAAAAAUGAGUCUGGAUUAUAUUUAUAUUCUUCCACGAGUUGUCGUCAAUUACUAUCAACAUAUUAUUCUGAUCAAUCCCUUUGGUAUGUCGUAAAUUGUGCUUAAAGUAGCCAAAAUUGAUCGUCACAAUAAAAGAAAGAGAAAUUGAUAGAUUUUAUUUGAAAUGCCAUAUGGGGACCAAUAAAAGUUCUUUAAACAAAAUAAAGGUUCUAAACUAUAGCUAAAAUUAUUGGGUAUAUUAAUGCAUCUCAUAAAUUUGAAUAAUAAGCAUAUAAUGGAAUCAAAUAUGUCUAUGAAAUUUGGGUCUAUAUAUGCAUGAAGUAAAAAAAUUAAUUGGGGUUUUCUCCAAUUGUUUGUAUGUUGACGCACAACAUGUUAAUGACAAUUUUUAAUUUGAUUUUUUAUUAAUAUAGUUAAAAAAAUAAGUAUCUUUUUAUCACUACCACCAAGGAUAGAUAAGACAAAUAGUCCUAUUGGCUUAGAA
rnacentral:lncRNA from 1 species